CCUUUUUGAUCGGUCUUUCUCAGUAUCUUUCUUCUAAAUGGUCAUAAUCACUCUCUCAGUCUCCACUCUUUUUUUUCUUCAGUCUUCACUCUCUUUCAUCAGUCCUCACUCCUCACUCUUCAUUCUUUUUCUAGUUCAGUCUUUUCUUCAGUUUGUCUCUGUCUCAGAUUUCGUCUCUACUUGACUUAUUCUCUCACUGUUUUAAUAACGUGCAAACCUAGAGCACAUAUAUGAACUGGUGUAACUUGUGUGUUAUUCUCAGUCUCAGCCUAGGUCAUUCUCUUAUCUUUAUUAUCUCUCAGUUUUUCCUCUUAAGUUUAAUCAUUUUAUCAUUCAUUUUUUCUCAGUCUCAGCUUCUUAGUUUUAGUCUUCAUUUUCUUGUUAAUCUCAUUCAUUGUGUGUGAUUUGCUUGUUACCUCAGUCUUCGGUUUCAAGUUACACCACUUCAUAUAUGUGCUCUAGGUUUGCACGUUCUUAGAAGUUGUAUUUGCUUGUUGGGUUUCUAGGAGCAAGAGUUUGAUACUUUUACUGAAUAAGAGGUAGGUGUCUCAUGGGGCGUCUCUCACGGCAUGGCAAGCCACGUGGACAAAGAAUUGGAUUUGUUGUAUCCUUUUGCCAAUUCAGUUUCGAGAUCAAGACAUUGUGUUGAAGUGGUACAUGAUUUCAUCAAGAAAGAGAGAGGUACUGAAAAGUAGCAGGAUGAGACGGGGUCACAUGCCUAUGCUGAGACGGAAGGAGGAACAAUAGGCUAAUACUUUUACGGACCAUGUAUCUGCUACACCAUCGGCUCCGCCUGUGACGCCUUGUGUGCAAUCCUUUAUGCACGACAUUGACGGUCUCGGAUACAAGCACACAUGGUGGUUUCUCACUGCUGCACCGCCACUCAGUUGAAUUUUUUUCCACCAUAGAAACCGUAUAAGCUGGACAAGCAUUUCCUAACUCGGUAUAGCUUUUUGGUUACUAAGCUGUGAUAAGUCAAGCGAGAGAUCUCAGGAUUGCUUCUCCCCUGGUAUUUUGAUGCAAAACAACUUUUGGGGGAGAUGUACAUGAUUUUGGAUCUAGAAUGAAGACAAGAGGUUCUGGAAAGCAGUAGGGGGAGGGGGAGAAGUCGUGACACACCUGUGCUGAGAGUGUAUGAGGUACAAAGGGUUGCCCUAACCUGGAGGCAGCUGGUAUACCAGGCCACCGAAAAUUUACUGAGAUGGCGACGUGAAAGCCUCAACAAAAGCUGAAUUGUUGGGCUUCUCUGUUUAUAGUUCUUAUAUACGAGAGCCAAGUUCACUAUAGGCCGAUGUAUAAAUAAUGAGUUCUUGCAAAUAAAACCAGGAAAACACAGACUGGGUGGACUAAUCUGAAUGAAUUUAUUUGUUUUCGUGUU